ACAGCCAGUAUGGUGGCUAUGACCCUCGGCUAGUAACCGAGUGGGUUCGGGUUCGAAUCCCGAUUAAGACAUGGUUGUA
rnacentral:tRNA from 1 species